rnacentral:rRNA from 1 species
GACGAAGGGGGCUAGCGUUGUUCGGAAUUACUGGGCGUAAAGGGCGCGCAGGCGGCUUUGCAAGUCAGGCGUUAAAGACCCAGGCUCAACCUGGGGAAUGCGCUUGAUACUGCAGAGCUUGAGAUCGGAAGAGGAGAGUGGAAUUCCCAGUGUAGAGGUGAAAUUCGUAGAUAUUGGGAAGAACACCAGUGGCGAAGGCGGCUCUCUGGUCCGAUUCUGACGCUGAGGCGCGAAAGCGUGGGGAGCAAACAGGAUUAGAUACCCUGGUAGUCCACGCCGUAAACGAUGUGUGCUGGACGUUGGAAGGCCUAGCCUUUCGGUGUCGUAGCUAACGCGUUAAGCACACCGCCUGGGGAGUACGGCCGCAAGGUUAAA